GCAAACUUGGUCAUUUAGAGGAAGUAAAAGUCGUAACAAGGUUUCCGUAGGUGAACCUGCGGAAGGAUCAUUAUCGAACAAAAUUAAACAAGGCUGCUGCUGGUUCUUUUGAGCAUGUGCACGUCUUGUUUCAUUUUAUAUGCUCCUCCUGUGCACUACUGGUAGACAACCUAUCUGAGGCAAUGCAUUGCAAUGUUUCGAAGACCUUCUUCGAUGGGAAGAAAUUAGCACCACUUUGGCUUGGAAGUGCAGCUUUUCUUUUGUUUUUUAUUCGACAUGCCCAGCUUCAGAGACGGCUCUACUGUUAUUUAUUCAUCACGCCAUAUGAAGGGAACAGAAUGUUGAUUAAAUUGCCCAUAACUUUCAACAACGGAUCUCUUGGCUCUCGCAUCGAUGAAGAACGCAGC
rnacentral:misc_RNA from 1 species